UCAUGUUCUACUCAAGUACUUGUGAAACGGAACACAAAGGCUAAAGCUUUAUCAACAGAAAGUCUGAAGAUAAACUGCCCUGUGGUAUACUGUGAUGAAAAGCCAAUAAUGACAUGGUGCAAAGUAUCAGAUUCAAAUGAAUGCUUUCCUGUCAGUGACACAUAUCUGAUCAAAUCGGGAUGGACAUACACAGGGGAGACAUCUGGCAUCUUAUCAUUACAUUUCAAACGCAUUGCUGUGUGUGAUUCUGGACUGUACAGGUGUCACUGCACGGGAUCACAACGCUGUGUUGGUCAUUCAGUUAAUAUCACAGUGAAAGGUUUGGUUUUAUCCUCCUUUGAUAUACAUACUGUACAUAAUAAUGGGGGAAAAAAUCCAGUGAACGUCUGGUGACAAAUCUAAUUGGCAUAUUAUAUGACAUUGCUGCAAAACUUAACCGCAACUGUUUGCCAGAAACCUAAUUUACAUAUGACCUUGCCGCAAAUUUGUGGUAACUGAAACCUGAAAUAUCCUGAAGGGAUUUGUUUUACAUAUCAUGAAAUAAAAGCAAAACACAGCACAGGUAAAUGUGCAGAACUGAGCGGCGGUCAUAUUUUGCAGCGCUUUGCGGUACAUCUAGCUUUGGUUCCAAUUACAAUCAUCUGGUUCACUUCAAUAAAUGAUUCACAACAUGCUACACACAGUUAAAAUAAAAUAAAAAAAAAAGUACAAAUGAAUUACAACAUCAUAGUUUAUUGCACUAAUAUUUGUGAAAUUUGAGCAAGGCUGAUGGAGUUUUCCUUUCUCUGUAAAAAAAAAAAAAAAUCCUGUGCCGCCAUGUGUUCUUUACUGGAAGUUUCCUUGAACAGAUUAUUCCCCUGCACCCACCUCUCCUGCUCCCCCUGGUGCUGGUCAGUGCUGGUCAGUGCUGGUCAUCUGGUGUCCUGUGUGUGCUCUACUCUCUGCCCUCAUCUCCACCUGUGUGUGCUGCCUCUGCCGUAGGACAGCACCUGUGGAAUCUGGGGUGCAUCUGAAGGAUGAGUGUACAGGACAGUGUUGUGCUACAUUGGACAAACCAAUCAAAGUAUCCCAAAUAAAACGGCA